rnacentral:siRNA from 1 species
AGGCACAUAUCCAGCAGGCAAGCC